rfam:Felis catus isolate Cinnamon breed Abyssinian chromosome X, whole genome shotgun sequence.
GAAUAUGAAUGUGUCUGAUUGCAACAUCUGUCCCCUUUUGAUCACCAUGGUUGAUUCAGCUGAUCUUGCUGGCUAGGCUGGUAUCUCCUUCCUCACUCACCACUCCAUGUGUGUCCCUCCAAAAACUGCACACUUGGCUGAAGAGGAUAACCUUCCCUGAUAGAGGAGGACCAUUCUUCCAAGAGCAUAUGAGUAGCUGUGCUCUCCUGUUAGAACCUCCAAACAAGCUCUCAAAAAUGGGCAAAAUAUUUGAACAGACCUUUUUUCAAAAAAUACUUUCAGUUGAACAACAAGUAUAUGGAAAGAUGAUCAACAUUACU